AUGAAGAUGGCGACUUGCAUUCGUAAGGUGGCCUCGGAGGAGUUUGGAGUGUCCAGGGGAAGGAGAAGCGAAGAUAAGGAUACCUGGUGGUGGAAUGAUGAUGUCCAGAAGGCGCUUAAAGAGAAGAAAGAUUGCUUCAGACGCCUAUACCUGGAUAGGAGUGCAGGCAACAUAGAGAAGUACAAGAUGGCGAAGAAGGCCGCAAAGCGAGCUGUUGGUGAAGCAAGGGGUCGGGCAUAUGAGGACCUCUACCAACGGUUAGGCACGAAGGAAGGUGAAAGGGACAUCUAUAAGAUGGCUAAGAUCCGGGAGAGGAAGACGAGGGAUAUUGGCCAAGUCAAAUGCAUCAAGGACGGAGCAGGCCAACCCUUGGUGAAGGAAGAAGAGAUUAAGCAUAGAUGGCGGGAGUACUUCGACAAGCUGUUCAAUGGGGAGAAUGAGAGUUCUACCAUUAAACUGAAUGACUCCUUUGAUGAGACCAACAUGCGUUUUGUGCGGCGCAUCCAGGAGUCUGAGGUGAAGGAGGCUUUAAAAAGGAUGAAAGGAGGCAAGGUGAUGGGCCCUGAUUGUAUCCCCAUUGAGGUGUGGAAAGGUCUCGGGGACAUAGCGAUAGUAUGGCUAACCAAGCUUUUCAACCUCAUUUUUCGGGCAAACAAGAUGCCAGAAGAAUGGAGACGGAGUAUAUUAGUACCAAUCUUCAAGAACAAGGGAGAUUUUCAGAGUUGUACUAAUUACCGUGGAAUUAAGCUGAUGAGCCAUACAAUGAAGCUAUGGGAGAGAGUCAUUGAGCACCGCUUAAGAAGAAUGACAAGCGUGACCAAAAAUCAGUUUGGUUUCAUGCCUGGGAGGUCGACCAUGGAAGCCAUUUUCUUGGUACGACAACUUAUGGAGAGAUAUAGGGAGCAUAAGAAGGACUUGCAUAUGGUGUUCAUUGGCUUGGAGAAGGCCUAUGAUAAGAUACCGCGGAAUGUCAUGUGGUGGGCCUUGGAGAAACACAAAGUCCCAGCAAAGUACAUUACCCUCAUCAAGGACAUGUACAAUAAUGUUGUGACAAGUGUUCGAACAAGUGAUGUCGACACCGAUGACUUCCCGAUUAAGAUAGGACUGCAUCAGGGGUCAGCUUUGAGCCCUUAUCUUUUUGCAUUGGUGAUGGAUGAGGUCACAAGGGGUAUACAAGGAGAUAUCCCAUGGUGUAUGCUCUUUGCGGAUGAUGUGGUGCUAGUUGACGAUAGUCGGACGGGGGUAAAUAGGAAGUUAGAGUUAUGGAGAAAAACCUUGGAAUCGAAAGGGUUUAGGCUUAGUAGAACUAAAACCGAGUACAUGAUGUGCGGUUUCAGUACGACUAGCUGUGAGGAGGAGGAGGUUAGCCUUGAUGGCCAGGUGGUACCUCGGAAGGACACCUUUCGGUAUUUGGGGUCAAUGUUGCAGGAGGAUGGGGAUAUUGAUGAAGAUGUGAACCAUCGAAUCAAACCCGGAUGGAUGAAGUGGCGCCAAGCUUCUGGCAUUCUCUAUGACAAGAGAGUGCCACAAAAGCUAGAAGGCAAGUUCUAUAGGACGGCGGUUCGACCCGCAAUGUUGUAUGGCGUGGAGUGUUGGCCGACUAAAAGGCGACAUGUUCAAUAG
rnacentral:rRNA from 1 species